rnacentral:rRNA from 1 species
UGGGGAAUUUUGCACAAUGGGGGAAACCCUGAUGCAGCGACGCCGCGUGAUUUAGAAGGCCUUCGGGUUGUAAAAAUCUUUUUUACGGGAUGAAAAUGACAGUACCGUAAGAAUAAGGUCCGGCUAAAUACGUGCCAGCAGCCGCGGUAAUACGUAUGGACCGAGCGUUGUCCGGAAUCAUUGGGCGUAAAGGGUACGUAGGCGGCCUAGUAAGUUAGAAGUGAAAUAAUAUAGCUCAACUAUAUAAAGCUUUUAAAACUGCUAGGCUUGAGAGAUGGAAGGGAAAGUGGAAUUCCUAGUGUAGCGGUGAAAUGCGCAGAUAUUAGGAAGAAUACCGGUGGCGAAGGCGACUUUCUGGUCAUCUUCUGACGCUGAGGUACGAAAGCGUGGGUAGCAAACAGG